ACGAAAUUCAGAUCAAAAAUCAUCCAAACAACAACACAUUUCUCUCAUUUUUUCACCCUUUUCUUUGAUUUUUCAAAACCCAUUCAAACCACCUUCAAACUUGAAUUUCUUCAAUCCACUAGCUUCUAACCACUUCCAGUAGCACAAAACAAUCAUAAAACACAAGCUCUAACCCAUAAUUCGCGUGAACCAAAUGCUCAAAAUCAUCCAAAAAAAGAUUGAAACGGUUCUGGAGUUCUAGGCCACUAUUUCACGUGAUUUUUGUCGAUCUAUGCUCCUGGAGACGUUCUAAAGCUUUCCCACAGACCCAAUCAACCCAGUUCGCAUUAUUUUUCGUACCCAAAAUUUUCAUCUCAAACUUUAUCUCAUCAUAUUUCAACUUNNNNNNNNNNNNNNNNNNNNNNNNNNNNNNNNNNNAAUAAGGGUAGAUUCGUGAUCUAUGAAGAAUUCCGAGCAAUUUGGUAUAUUUGGUUGCAAUUUUCAGUCACUAUUUGAAUCGCCGGCGAAAGGACCACCGCGCCGGAGAAGAAGGUGUUUCCGGUUCUGUUUUUUUUUUUAUUUUCUUUUGUUUCCAGUUUAAAUUUAAGCCAUCUGAUUGAUCAAACGGACCAGAUCUGUCCUGAUUUUUUUUUAAAUAUUAUCCAUCUGAUCAAUCAGAUGACCCAUAUAUAAGAUUGUUACUGUGCACCCUAUUUAGCUACUGCUUUGGAUUAUUUUUGUUUGACUGUGAAUUUUUGUUUGACUUCGCUGAUGGGCCUUGGGCUUGGACUAGGCUGACUGUUAUUUGCACCCCGCUUCUAACACGUUUUAAUAUUUGCACCCCCUUUCUGCUUCUGAACUUUUUUUGUUUUUUAGCUUAAAUUUAAGUCAUUUUAGUUUAAGUUAAGAAUGACUUUUCAAUUUCAGUGACUUAUUUAAGUCAUUUGAACAAAAUUAAGUCAUUUAAAUUUUAAUGGUAUUUUAUCUUAUUUAUUUUGCUAUUUCUUGUAAAUUAAUCACUUCUUGAGCUUAUGUGAUAAGUGCUUAUGGAUUGAGCUUGUUUAAGCUAUUUGGUCCAUUUCUAUGCACAAAAUUGAGGCUAUUUUGGAUUUAAAUUUAUUUUUCUCCAUUUUAAUUUGUUGUUAGU
rnacentral:lncRNA from 1 species